rnacentral:rRNA from 1 species
UAGGGAAUCUUCGGCAAUGGGGGGAACCCUGACCGAGCAACGCCGCGUGAGUGAAGAAGGUUUUCGGAUCGUAAAGCUCUGUUGUUAAGGAAGAACGAGUGUGAGAAUGGAAAGUUCAUACUGUGACGGUACUUAACCAGAAAGGGACGGCUAACUACGUGCCAGCAGCCGCGGUAAUACGUAGGUCCCGAGCGUUGUCCGGAUUUAUUGGGCGUAAAGCGAGCGCAGGCGGUUAGAUAAGUCUGAAGUUAAAGGCAGUGGCUCAACCAUUGUAGGCUUUGGAAACUGUUUAACUUGAGUGCAGGAGGGGAGAGUGGAAUUCCAUGUGUAGCGGUGAAAUGCGUAGAUAUAUGGAGGAACACCGGUGGAGAAAGCGGCUCUCUGGUCUGUAACUGACGAUGAGGCUCGAAAGCGUGGGGAGCGAACAGG